CGCUGGCGACGGGACAGGGUUUUUGCUGCCCGGGGCCUAGUCUACCUCGGCACGCUUUUCUCUGAAGGAGACACGCACUUGCACGACGUGGGCCUCUGUGCAGCUCUACUUUGUCCUUAACUCCUCUGACUCAACGUUAUCGCAGUUUGACUCUGGAGCCACUCAGGUUUUUCCUAAGCUCAACUCUAGCCAGCUAGGUUCCUGGUGCUUUGGGGGUAAGUUGUGUGCAGGGAGGGUGUUUUACAGGAGGCUGUGUGGUGUAGUGGAAAAAGCUGAAUUAAGUACAUUAAUCCUGAAAACGGUUUGACAAGGGCAGAUGACGUCCAAGUUCUCCAACAGCUGUUUUUACUCCUCCAUUCAGAAUAGGAGCUGUGCUAAUGGUUUGGAGACCGUCAAUUGGCCUAGCACUUGGCCAUCCUGCCCCCAAAUUCUUGUCCCAGUUCCGUGCCAGCUGCAUGAUGCCUUUUGAUAGUAUCCUUCUUUCCUGUACCUCAAGCAUAGUAGGGUUUCAGACCACAAGUUUUCUGAAGCUUUUCGGAAUUCAUGCAGCUUGAUGCGUUAUUAGUAGGGGCUGCUCGUGGGAAAACGCUUGUAAUUACACUUCCUCAAGAAGUUAAUGAAAAUGUGUGAGAAGAGAGAUUUCCAACAGGUGAUGAAUAUGCCAGCCAGUUAUUCCCUUCUUCCUUCAAAUAUCCAGCCUAGACUGAUUUCUGGAUAGGUAUUGUAGAAAUAAAAAUUUCAGACAAAACAAACUUAGAUUUUGAAUCGGACAACAGUCAGAACCAAAAGAGGCUCAGACACCCCUGCUCUAGCUGCCCAGGCAUCAAACUUUAUAGGCUGAACACGAAAGUAAAGAAAUUUGAUUGGCUACAGCUAAGCGUUUGCCUUAUUUGGGUAUGGUCACAUGGGAGGUCCCUAAUUAUAUAACCACUUGGCUGGUUGUCUGUUUGUGAUUGGUUGAAACUCCAUUCAAAAUCAGGUACAAGGGGCCGGGCGCGGUGGCUCACACCUGUAAUCCCAGCACUUUGGGAGGCUGAGGCAGGCGGAUCCCCUGAGGUUAGGAGUUCGAGACCAGCCUAGCCAACAUGGCGAAGCACCGUCUCCACUAAAAAUACAAAAAUUAGCCGGACGUGGUGGUAAGUGCCUGUAAUCCCAGCUACUCGGGAGGCUGAGGCACGAGAAUGACUUGAACCCGGGAAGUGGAGAUUGCAGUGAGCAGAGAUCUCGCCACUGCACUCCAGCCUGGAUGAGAGAACGAGACUCCAUCUCAAAAAAACAAAACAAACAAAAGGUGCAAGGAAUACCUCUAAAUUUUGGGUUGCUUUCUGGGUACAAAAACAACUCCAAACUAAUGGCCUGCUACUUAUUUUGCAUUAACAGUAUCAAGUAUCAAGACUCCAGCAAAAGUGGCAGACAGCAUGGGAAUGCUAAAGAGCAUACAAUAUCAAUACAGGAUAGUACUCCAGAAAAUACGUUACCCUGCAUGUGGCGUUCCCUCAAUAGAUGUCUCCCCUCCCCCCAAUUUUUUUUAGCUCUGUGCUUUAGUGGAUACAAAAAUUACUUGCUUUCCCAAAGCCUCCUUUUGAAGAUAGAGCUAGCAUUAGGUUGAUUGCUAAAUUUUCAGGGAUUUUAUGAGCCAGGUCAUAAGCACAACCAUUAUUAGAAAUCAAAUUAUAUAAGCUACAAUUAAAUUAUCUUAAAAAUAAAAGUAAUAGGCCAGGCAUGUUGAGUC
rnacentral:lncRNA from 1 species